rnacentral:rRNA from 1 species
GACGAACGCUGGCGGCGUGCUUAACACAUGCAAGUCGAACGGAAAGGCCCUGCUCUUGCUGCGUGCUCGAGUGGCGAACGCGUGUGUAACACGUGCGUAACCUGCCCUUGACUUUGGGCUAACUUCAGGAAACUGUGGCCCUUACCGGAUAGGAGCUCUUGCUGCCCGUUGGUGGUUGGUACGUUUAGUCUGUUGGGGAUGGACUGGCUGUUUACCCCCUUGUUUGUGGGGUAGUGAAUUCCCACCGUUUUGAUGGGUAGUCGACCUGCGAGGGUGACCGGGCACAUUGGUCCUGCAGUAGGCCCCAAACUCCUAUGGGAGGCAGCAGUGGGGAAUAUUGCACAAUGGUCGGAAGCCUGAUCCAGCAAGGCCGCGUGCGGAAUGACGGCCUUCGAGUUGAAAACCGCUUUGUCAUGUGACGAAGCGUGAGUGACGGUAAUGGGUAAAGAAGCACCGGCUAACUACGUG